GCAGCAGGCGCGUAAAUUAGCCAAUCCUGACACAGGGAGGUAGUGACAAUAAAUAACAAUACGGGGCGCUUUCGCGUCUUGUAAUUGGAAUGAGUACAAUUUAUAUCCCUUAACGAGGAUCAAUUGGAGGGCAAGUCUGGUGCCAGCAGCCGCGGUAAUUCCAGCUCCAAUAGCGUAUAUUAAAGUUGUUGCAGUUAAAAAGCUCGUAGUUGGAUUUCUGGUCGGAGCGACCGGUCGGCGUCCUUUGUGGCGUGUGCACUGUUGUCGGCUCCGUCCAUCCUAGUGGGAAGGCGCGUGGGCAUUCAUUUGUUCGCGCGUGGCCCCGCUACGUUUAACGUGGAAAAAAUAGAGUGUUUAAAGCAGGCUUCCGCC
rnacentral:rRNA from 1 species